UACGAAGGGGGCUAGCGUUAUUCGGAAUCACUGGGCGUAAAGCGCACGCAGGCGGAUCGUUAAGUCGGGGGUGAAAUCCCGAGGCUCAACCUCGGAACUGCCUUCGAUACUGGCGAUCUUUGAGUCCGGGAGAGAUGAGUGGAACUCCGAGUGUAGAGGUGAAAUUCGUAGAUAUUCGGAAGAACACCAGUGGCGAAGGCGGCUCACUGGCCCGGUACUGACGCUGAGGUGCGAAAGCGUGGGGAGCAAACAGG
rnacentral:rRNA from 1 species